rnacentral:snRNA from 1 species
GUGCUUGCUUUGGCAGCACAUAUAUUAAAAUUGGAACGAUACAGAGAAGAUUAGCAUGGCCCCUGUGCAAGGAUGACAUGCAAAUUCGUGAAGUAUUCCAUAUUUUU